AUUGAACGCUGGCGGCAGGCCUAACACAUGCAAGUCGAGCGGAUGAAGGGAGCUUGCUCCUGGAUUCAGCGGCGGACGGGUGAGUAAUGCCUAGGAAUCUGCCUGGUAGUGGGGGAUAACGUCCGGAAACGGGCGCUAAUACCGCAUACGUCCUGAGGGAGAAAGUGGGGGAUCUUCGGACCUCACGCUAUCAGAUGAGCCUAGGUCGGAUUAGCUAGUUGGUGGGGUAAAGGCCUACCAAGGCGACGAUCCGUAACUGGUCUGAGAGGAUGAUCAGUCACACUGGACCUGAGACACGGUCCAGACUCCUACGGGAGGCAGCAGUGGGGAAUAUUGGACGAUGGGCGAAAGCCUGAUCCAGCCAUGCCGCGUGUGUGAAGAAGGUCUUCGGAUUGUAAAGCACUUUAAGUUGGGAGGAAGGGCAGUAAGUUAAUACCUUGCUGUUUUGACGUUACCAACAGAAUAAGCACCGGCUAACUUCGU
rnacentral:rRNA from 1 species